CUGUCCACAAGGUCGGAGACAGAAGCACAUAGUUGCUUUUGGACGUAUGUAUUAAAACUGAUUAAGGGUUGGUGUUGGAGAAAAGACGUGUGUUUCAAAGCUAACAGAAGAUAAACGGAGAUUCGCAGGGUUUCUUCAAGAUGUCCUCUGGAGCUGAGGGUCCACAGACCAACCCGAGUAUAGCUGGCUUAAUUCAGAAUCCUUUUCAUGCUGUUCAUGAGCCUCCACCUGUAGAGCCACCACUCUGGACUUAUUACAACAAACCCAUAAUUCUUUCAGUUAUUGGAGGAGUGGUGUUAUGCACAGGUAUUGCAUUGUACCUACUUGGUGAAUAUGGGGUAUUCAUUGUGCCACCUGGCAUGGGACCUGUUUGUCUGUGUGUUGGCAUCAUGUUCAUUGUAGUUGCACUCGUGUUGUUGCCCAUCAUUAAGGACAAACUGAGGCGUCGAGGGCCAAAGACGCGCCGCACGUUUCAUAUGGAACAAGUGUGACCGAGUGAUCAGUGCCGGGCCACACUGAUCUGUUGACCAACAGUAAUUUACAUAUAAAGCAGAAACUGAAUUUACAGGAUGUAGUAGUUGAGCACAAAGUGGCUGAUUAUCAUGUAUUUAUUUCAGUGUGUAAAAGUGAGUAAAGUGUGUAAAAAUGUGUGCCCAAACAGGAAUGCUUUAUUUCUUCAUUUAUCAAAAACAAAGGUUACAUUUUUACUUGAAUCUUCUUGCAUUUAAUUGAAAAACAUUUGCAUUUAAUGUAACAAGAUUUGAGACUGUAGCCUAUACAUAUCAUUCUGGGGGAACCCAGAAAGUAUCACUGGAUAUCUAAAGAACCCAUUUUAUGCUCUCGAUUGUUUAUUAUUUCACUUUUUUUGGUAUAUGGUUCAAUGAAUCAAGUAUUUGUAGUAUAAGAAACGUUUCAGACUGUGCCUACAGCUGUAAUCUAUCGGUUAAAAAUUGGCAUGUUUGCAUGCAGGGAGAUGAUGCCAUAAGCAAGAUAAAGGUGUAAUUUGUUCAGCUGAUCCUUGCCAAAGGUUUAUCCUUUAGAGUGUACUUUGACCCCUUUCUCCCCCAGAGUGACUCCGUGGUGUACCGCUAACACCUGUCACCCAUUCUACCCUAAAAAAUAUUUUUAGUGGAGAAAGAAAGUGUCAUAGCCAUGGAGAAAAGUGGCCGGGGAGUGGGUCGGUGCAAGUUCUCAUUUUGGUUUGCUGUAUUUCAUGACGUAUUGGGACUUCUGAUCCUCUUGUCUGGUGUGUUUUGGGAUAUCUUCUUCAAUGACUUUCUCAUCUACUCUGGAGCUGUGGUUAUUUUUCUCAGCCUUAUCUGGUGGGUGUUUUGGUACACUGGAAACAUCGAGGUGCCUCCUGCGGAGUUGGAGGACGACAUCACUUUGUAUAAAAGGACCAAGGGAAUUUCUGGAGUGGUGCGCAAAGUCUCUGAUCGUCUCUCCAGUGGACUUAGUUCGUUCAGGAAAAGUGGGAGAGUCAGUGCCCCGAGUGGGAACUCGUGUCAAAACGGCACCAACAGCACAAAUAUCUGCAUGAUCUCCUAUACAAACACUCAAGCACUGAGACCAUCCGACAACCUAAACAGAGAACCGUUAUCCAUAUAAUCCACAGCAGUGUGAAGAACGCAGCCUCUGGACAGCUGUGCCCUGUCAAUCAAGCAAAUGAUUGGACUGAUGUGUUGGAAAUAUAUAUUUCUAAUUUAAUCCGGGUUGUUUCUCUGUUUCGUAUUUAUGAUUCUAUGUUAAAUGUUCUAUUUAACAUAAUAUUGUCUGGAAUAUAUUUGUUAUAUGAUAAAGUGCAUACCACAAUAAAACUUGAACUUAAGUUUAACUUUAAUAUUUUGUAAGCUACAGUCUAACCCUUUGACAAAAAAAGGAAGAAUUUAAUUUACAACAGCAAGACAUUUCAUGUGUGUCUUUUUUUUUCUCUUAUUAACACAUGUAAGUAAAAAUAAACAAAUAGUGCAUGUUAAUACAUCAUUAGUGAAAAAUGCAAAAUUAAAUUAGUUCAACAGUUCGCAUUUCCUUUUUUCUUAGCUUUUGGAUUGUCUCAGUUGUAACACUAGACCCACCUUCUCCUACCCCACCUGACUGCUUGCUCAGUCGUCUUCUCAUAUCCGUAUUCUUAUAACUCCGUUCAUACAUGGCCUUAUUCAAAUCAAGUGUGAAGACUGAGAGGGUCAUGACACAACUUCUUUUGGCAAAAUGUUCUGUUGUCUUUUAAAAAAAUAAUUUAAAAAUGUCUAAUUCUGUUUCUUGUAGAUAAUAUGAUACUGUUAUGGUAAUGUACAAAAAAACAAGUGAUGUAAACUCGACUGUAUUGUAAUAUAACCUCAGCACUGAGUUCAGCUGGUUAAAAAUGGGCAUAAAACAAUGAGUGUGAAUA